rnacentral:rRNA from 1 species
AGUGAACGCUGGCGGUAGGCCUAACACAUGCAAGUCGAACGGCAGCACAGGAGAGCUUGCUCUCUGGGUGGCGAGUGGCGGACGGGUGAGGAAUACAUCGGAAUCUACUCUGUCGGGGGGGAUAACGUAGGGAAACUUACGCUAAUACCGCAUACGACCUACGGGUGAAAGCAGGGGACCUGCGGGCCUUGCGCGAUUGAAUGAGCCGAUGUCGGAUUAGCUAGUUGGCGGGGUAAAGGCCCACCAAGGCGACGAUCCGUAGCUGGUCUGAGAGGAUGAUCAGCCACACUGGAACUGAGACACGGUCCAGACUCCUACGGGAGGCAGCAGUGGGGAAUAUUGGACAAUGGGCGCAAGCCUGAUCCAGCCACACCGCGUGGGUGAAGAAGGCCUUCGGGUUGUAAAGCCCUUUUGUUGGGAAAGAAAUCCAGCUGGCUAAUACCCGGUUGGGAUGACGGUACCCAAAGAAUAAGCACCGGCUAACUUCGUGCCAGCCGCCGCCGUAA